GCCGCCGGGAGCGCCCCCCACCCCAGAAAUGAGCCAUUUACGGGGAUUUUGGCGUCUUCUUGCAAAUCAAAAAAAAAAAAAAAACAAAAAAAAUGGUGCGAGGAAAACAAUACGGGUAUAGCUGGGCUGUAAGGCUCCUGGCGGGGCAGGCAGCGGCGGAGCGGGCUCCCGACGGCUUCGGCCCGCCGUCCCGGCUCCCCCGCGCCCGGGGCAGAGCGUCCCGAGCCAGGGGCGGGCGAGGCGGCAGAGAGUGCUCGCCCUCCGCGCCUCCGGGGCCGCCGCAGGAACCAACAAUGUUUCAGAAGGCUGAGGGCCUCUGACAGCUGCUGCAGAGAGGAACUACCACCAUUAAUGUAUCUCAUGCCAUCCAGUCAUGAGGGGAAGAAUGGUGGUUGCAAAUGAUAACCAGCAUGAUUAGAACCACCCAUUGAAGAGAUUAAGAAACUGCAAAUGCUACGGCCAUCUCCAGCACUGUUGGGAGAAAAUACCCCAUGAGAAGAGAUGUUAGAGAUAAAUUUACCUUUAAAUUCUUAUAUCCAACUUAACCCGAAAUAAUCCAGAGCCUUGGAAAUGUUCUUGGAAAGAAAAGGAUUUCUCUACAUCUGAGAACUGCUUUCAGAAAUGUCAGGAAUGAAAUCUCCGAAA